UGGGAACAUACCUUUUGGUUCGGAACAACACAGGGAAACUUGUGCUAAUACCGGAUAAGCCCUUACGGGGAAAGAUUUAUCGCCGAAAGAUUGGCCCGCGUCUGAUUAGCUAGUUGGUGAGGUAACGGCUCACCAAGGCGACGAUCAGUAGCUGGUCUGAGAGGAUGAUCAGCCACAUUGGGACUGAGAUACGGCCCAAACUCCUACGGGAGGCAG
rnacentral:rRNA from 1 species